rnacentral:lncRNA from 1 species
AUGGUGACACGGGGGUGGGAUCCCCGACAAAAUGACCUGGCCUGAUUAUUCUAAACAACACGUGAUUACGAGAAUCACCCUGGGAGAUUUACAUGCCUGUCUGCGCCCCUUCCCCAUCCCCAGAUGGUUGCAUCUAGGUGUCAUCCUCAUUCUCCACACUCUGUUUGAAACCUGCUUUUUCUUGCCGGAGCUUCUCCCUGUAGCUCUCUGUAGUUCUGAAGUUGCGCUGCGCUGUGUCUUGGUGUGGGUCUGUUUCCAGUCAUCGUGUUGGCCACUUGCUGGUCCUUUUCAAUCACAUUCUUCAUUUAGGAAAACGUUUCUUGAAUGGUUGCUCAGCAGUUUCUCCCUUCUGUGUUCUCUCUUCUUUCUGAAACCCUUUAUUAUUUGGAUGCUGGUGAAUUUGCAUGUGAGGGAGGGUGAGGAGGAGACACUGAGGCAGGCAAGGCAUUCUGCAAGCUUUUGCAGAGUUUUCAUGGACACAUUCUGAUUCCCACUGUGUCCAGGUGGGAGUUCUGUACACAUCACAGAUGGAAAAAAGAAACUCUCUGUGGAUUUGGCAGCACCCUGGAUUGGA